rnacentral:rRNA from 1 species
AUUGAACACUGGCGGCAGGCCUUACACAUGCAAGUCGAACGACUGGCGGACGGGAGAGUAAUGUAUGGGAAACUGCCUGAUGGAGGGGGCUAACUACUGGAAACGGUAGCUAAUACCGCAUACCAUCAGAAGUGCCCAGAUGGGAUUAGCUAGUAGGUGGGGUAAACGCUCACCUAUGCGACGAUCCCUAGCUGGUGUGGGAGGGUGACCAGCAACACUGGAACGGAGACACGGGCCAGACUCCUACGGGAGGCGGCAGUGGGGAAUAUUGCACAAGGGGAGCAAGCCUGAUGCAGCCAUGCCGAGUGUAUGAAGAAGGCUUUCGGGUUGUAAAGUACUUUCAGCGGGGAGGCGUUACCCGAAGAAGAAGCACCGGCGAACUCCGUGCCAGCAGCCGCGGUAAUUC